rnacentral:lncRNA from 1 species
UCUAAUUAACCACUAAUCAACAAGUUGCCAAGGAACGUCCUUGGGCCUUUGGCAUCUAACAACUGUUAAUUGCAUUAAGAAAUAGAGAAACCUAAUUCUAGCUACCCAAACGUAUGGUGAUGUUGCUAGAUCAUGCAAUUUCCUAGGUUUUUACACCAAGGGUUACUUGUGUUUGAAUAAUUCAAGCAAUUACGGACUUCAAACUAUCCAAACUAACAAAUUAUCACUUUGCAAUCAAGAAUCAAUGGGCCCUAUUGAUCUAAAUAACAAAGCAACAAUAGAAUU